GAGCGGCGAACGGGUGAGUAACACGUGAGCAACCUGCCCCUGACUCUGGGAUAAGCCCGGGAAACUGGGUCUAAUACCGGAUACGACCACUGUUUGCAUGGAUGGUGGUGGAAAGUUUUUCGGUUGGGGAUGGGCUCGCGGCCUAUCAGCUUGUUGGUGGGGUAGUGGCCUACCAAGGCGACGACGGGUAGCCGGCCUGAGAGGGCGACCGGCCACACUGGGACUGAGACACGGCCCAGACUCCUACGGGAGGCAGCAGUGGGGAAUAUUGCGCAAUGGGCGGAAGCCUGACGCAGCGACGCCGCGUGGGGGAUGACGGCCUUCGGGUUGUAAACCUCUUUCAGCAGGGACGAAGUUGACGUGUACCUGCAGAAGAAGCGCCGGCUAACUACGUGCCAGCAGCCGCGGUAAUACGUAGGGCGCAAGCGUUGUCCGGAAUUAUUGGGCGUAAAGAGCUCGUAGGUGGCUGGUCGCGUCUGCCGUGAAAGCCCGCAGCUUAACUGCGGGUCUGCGGUGGAUACGGGCCGGCUAGAGGUAGGCAGGGGCAAGUGGAAUUCCU
rnacentral:rRNA from 2 species